AGAUAAUACCAGAAGUCUUACUCAAGCGGAAACAUGUCCCAUCUUUUUUAUUGCGCAUGCGCGAGCUAAACAAGUGUAAUGCAAUGUUGACAAUAGAAAAUUAUAUUGGGAAGUUGUCAUUCCUACAGUAAAAACAGCUUUUUUUCAAGUAGUACGAAAUGUGACUUCGAUUUAUCUGUGGAACUAUUUCAACAGAAGGUAAAGCAGUAAUUUUGUUGUAUUUAGAAAGCAAACAGGGUCAUAUUUUAAAGAAAAUAGCGCACUAAAUAUAAAUUUGAGCAUCAUUAAAAUGUGUUCGCUAUGAUGCCAUUUUGUCUCCAGUAUAUACGGAGUACUGCAUUUAUACUGGUGGAUAUUCGAAUUUAUUUGGCUCAAAAACACCAUUACUUCAAUAUCCCUUUCUUGUUUUUCCUUGGAUAGGUUUUAACAAGAUAGAACUCUAGAUCACUUGGGUCCAAAAACGCUAGAUUAUAAAAUCCUGAUGUGACUUGAUACUACAAAUAGAAUAUGUCUUGUGAUGUAAUACUACAAAUAGAAUGUCAAACUUCAAUGAAUUGAUAAAGUGUAAGGAUAGUGUUUAAAGUCGCUUCAUGUGUAGAAGCUGAAUUACUUUAGUUUAUACACUGUAUAUUGUCGAGAUCACAUGUUGAUAUGACUUAAUACUAGCAACUUGCAAUAAUGCACCUAUCAAUGUUAACCCCCAGAGGGGGGGGGGGUCGGGCAUAUGUGGGGUAUUUGAUCAUCAAUUGCAUCCCCACCCUGGGGAUUUUGAUCAGCAUUUUGGCCCCAAGUUGGGCCAUUUGAACCAAUUAACCUUUAUUAAUAUAGUAUUUAUUGCAAAAUAGUGGGGCAUUUGACCAAUAUUUAUUGCCCGACGGUGGGGCAUUUGAUUGAAAAUUUGCUCAAAAAAUCAAAUGCCCCACCUAUGCCCGACCCCCCCCCCCCCUCUGGGGCUUAACAUUGAUAGGUGCAUAAGUGGUCUGUCCUGCUUGUUUAUAAUACUUUAGAGUUUGGACAUUAGAACAUUGUAAUUGCCUGACAGAGACUGUUUAUAGGGCCUGUUUGUAUGGAAGCCGGGCUGGCCCGCUUAGCGAGACAGCCCGGUAAGGUAUAUACGCAGGAUGAUUUCUCUUGUGUUUAUUUGAGAAAAUUUCAUCCUGCUUACCGGGACUAUUUUGUUGUUUUGACAUUGUUUUGACAGUUGUUAAAAAUAGCUUGCGGCAGUAUCGUUGAACUUUCAUCCUGGCAACUGGGCUAGCCUGCUUGUGAUUGUUUAUAUGGAGAAAUUUCCAUCCUGGUCUCUGCAACACGGCCUCCCGCUUGUACAUAGAAACAAUUUUAAUUAUAAUUUUUACUAUAAAAAAUAAGUAGACAGCGAGAUCUCACUUACCGGGCUGUCUCACUUAGCCGGCCAGCCAGUUUUGAUAUAAACAGGCCCUUAAAAGCUGCAAGUUUCCUUGAAGCAAUAUCGUCUAUAUCACAGAAUACAGUUUCUGUAGUGACAUACUUUGUGUGUUUUCUGUCUUUAAUUAAAGUGUCUUAUGUUUGUAAUAUUUUUGUACAAUACCUUUUUGAAAUUGUUGAUACUGGUCUCAUUGUAACUCAGUUAUUCCUUCUCAAGAAAAAUAAAAAACAAAACUGUGUGGGUGUGUUUUUGCUCUUAACUAGUUUUUACAUCUACAUGAUUCAUGUACAAUUAAUGUACAUUUAAAUUAGCUUUGUUCAAUGAAUACAGGUGUGAUUCAAAUAUCAUUCCUGUCUGGUACUUGGGUCAAAUAGACAUAAGCAUACCAAAUCAUGCUAUGAAUUGAAAUACAAGUAUAGGGUGUGUAUUACUGUAUUGUUUAAAUAAAUAUAUUUUCCAGUUAACCCAGUAAGCUGCAUUGUGCCCCAAUGCACCCUACUUUACUAGUUUAUUUCACUUCAUCUAAUGCCAGAUGAUUUUACUUAUCGAGGGAGAGUGCUGCUGCUCAUUGAGCUCUGAUUGAGUUCACUGAAUGGCAGCACUUUCCCCUUGACAAGUGAAAUUGUCUGGUGUUAGACAGAGUAAAAUAAUCUUGCGUUCACUAAAGUAGCUACUUUUUCAAAAGCUCAACCAGGCUAAAGAUUCUUUGAUUUGAAAACCAAAGUGAUAGUGAACUAGUUAGUUGAAACAAACAGAAUUGUUUGAUUUAUUUACUUUCCACAACAUUGACAAUUAAAAUUUAAUUUGAUACUUUUCCAGUAUGCAUUCUUCAUUGACAUUAUAGAGGUUCAGAUUUGACUACCAUUACCAUUAAGGGACCAUCAAAUGCAUUUGAUAUAUUCGAUCAACCAUUAUAACCAAUCAGAUGCAUACUAAAGCCGCGUUCACACUAGCGGCCCAGGCCUGGCCUGGACCUAGCCUGGGUCUAGGUGUGAACGGGUUUUACCUGGCCUGAGCCUGGCCUAAGUCAAGAAAUCCAGGCCAGCAAAUGUAGGUGGCCUGGACCUGGCCUGGCCUUGAUCAUCACUGGUGUGAACAGGUUUUUCCUGUGCCUGGCCUGGGCGAGGCCCCGUUACCAUCGCAAUAUCUGCCCACGAUAAAAACUGGUCAGAUGAUUGUCAUACAAUUGGAGGGAAAAACAUUCAAAGCGCAAAAUUAAAUACUUUAGUGGAACACAAGGACGUUUAUAUUGACGCCUGAUUGCUUUGGCCUGGAGUUGGGCGUCAAGCCAGUGUGAAUGCGUCACAAUUGGCCCAGGCCAGGUCAAGGCCAGGCCUGGGCCGCUGGUGUGAACGCGGCUUAAGGCAGUCAGAGAUAGUGCUAGUAGAACUCAAAUCUUAACCUCUACAAUGAAAGUGCGAGUUUAUUCAUAAACUAAUUAUACGUAAAUCAACUUUCAUGCAAUCAUCUAGUUAUGCACCAGUCAAUGUAAAUCCCUGCCCCCAACCGGGGAGGGGCGGGAGGUUUAGUGGGGAAAGUGGUCUGUUUUGAUUAUAAAUUUGCCCCGAUGAUGGGAGACUUGGACGGUGGUUAAUAUAUAUAUCCUGUGUUGCUGUUUUAGUUUUCUUGACAAGAAAAGUUUAAAUACAACAACAUAUUAAAUGAAUUUGAUUUUCUAUUGCUGAUCUAUGAUUAUACAAAACUAUUUUCCCGCAGUUGAGAGACAUGCAGGGGACAUUGAUGUCCCUGGGGGCGGGACAAUUUUGCUUUUACUACCCCUCCAAGUCAAAAUCCCUGCCCCUCCCCGGUUGGGGGGUUUACAUUGACUGGUGCAUUAAUUAAAGAGGUGUCAGUGCCACAUAUGUAGUAAAAGCCAACUUGUCAGUAAAGGCCACAGAGCAAGAUUGUAUUUCAAAGAUUGCCAGUGACAAAAACAAUUGAUAGGCCUGAAAUAGAGUAUGCCAACAGUUA